AAAAUCCAAACCAACCCCAUUGAGAGAGAGAGAGAGAGCACUUAAGCUCUUCUUUAACCAAAACCAUUCAUGAAUCCUUCUUCUCAUCAUCAUCAUCGUCGUCGUCGUGUUCAUCAUCCUCACCGACCUCACUCUGGAUUCCGAUUCUGUUAUCUCCGUCCCUAGUUUCACCUUCCGCUUCUUCCGGCGAUGAUACCGGCUCUUCGUACCGGAGAAGCCAGAGCUUGGAGGUAUUAGGGUUUUUUUUUUUUUUUCCUGCAACGGCGAAGAUUUUGUUCUCGUUGAUUUUUUCUAUGGCGGAAGAGAAUCGUAAGGAUCGAGGUGUUUCGUCUACGGUUGCGAUUCCAUCUGGUUUGAACCGGAUCAAUACUCGGUUAGCUCCGUCGGGUCCUAGACCUGAUGAUUUCUCCGAUAACGUUCUGAAGCCUACGUUUAAUCGUAAUCAGAAGAGUAUUGUUCCUCGUGGACAUGGUAGAACCACUAGCUCUUCCAAACAAGGAACAAAAUUGUCAAGAUGGCUUGCUUCGUAUAAACCCAAGUAUUCUUGUCACCCUCCAAAAUAUGUUUGCUCGAGCAAUGAGGAUGCUAAGUUAAAAGUCAAGAACUCUGGUAAAGAAGAAGAGAGGAUGGUCAAGGUUUCUGAAAUUAAUCUUCCCUCUUCCAAGUCAAUGGGUAUAAAGAGCUUUUCCCAUGAGUUAGGGCCAAGGGGUGGUGUUCAAAAUCCCUAUCCUCGUCCGCACAGCUACAACGAUCUAAAGGAACUUCUGGGCUCACUUCACUCAAGAUUUGAUGUUGCUAAGGAAACUGUUGAUAAGAAGCUGAAUGACUUUGUCAUAGAUGUGAAAGAGGCUUUAGAGAAAAUGGACCCAACAUGUCCUGAAGAUCGAGAAAUGGUAGAGGAGUUACUUAACUUGGCUCAAGCCUGUAUGGAGAUGACAUCUGCCCAACUUCGUUCUACUUGUGAAUCUAUUGUCCAAGACUUGACUAGGAAAAGGAAACAGUGCCAAGCAGGACUUGUGAAGUGGUUGUUUUCUCAGUUGCUUUUUAUAUUGACUCACUGUACUAGAGUUGUGAUGUUUCAGAAGGAGACUGAGCCAAUUGACGAGAGUUCCUUCCGUAAAUUUAAGGAAUGUUUAGAAAGCAUCCCUGCUUUGGAAACAGAUUGGGCUACUCCUAGAGUUGAUGAUUCUGGUUCUGGUUAUCCUAAAUAUCAAAGGAAUGAAGCUGGUAAAAAGUUCAAUAGACAGGACAAAGAAUCUUUGGAGUCAGAGACAACUUUCUGUUCUGCCAUACCAGUUGAAAAUAGCAACAAUGCUGAUAGAGAACGUUAUGCAGCUGCUAAACAGCGUUGUCCGUCGCAGAAACCCCAAUUUGAUAGUAAAGUGGUAGAACAAAGAUUUUAUUUAAGCGAUGAGUAUGAAGAUAAGAUGCCAAAUGAGCCUGGAAAAGAGUUAGGUGGAUCUGAUUAUGUAAUAUGCAGGAUAUGCGAGGAGGAAGUUCCUCUCUCACAUCUGGAACCACACUCUUACAUAUGUGCAUACGCAGAUAAAUGUGAAAUCAAUUGUUUGGAUGUCGAUGAGCGCCUUUUGAAACUUGAGGAGAUACUGGAACAGAUAAUUGAUUCACGAAGUUUAAAUUCCUUCACUCAAGCUGGUGGCCUGGAAAACUCUGUUUUGCAGAAAUCUGGAGUUGCGUCUGAAGGUUGUUCUCCCAAGAUGAAUGAAUGGCGGAAUAAAGGUGUAGAGGGAAUGUUUGAGGAUCUGCAUGAGAUGGACACUGCCUUCAUAGAUGAGUCUUGCACAUAUCCUAUUAACCUGAAGAGCCAUGUAGGGGCCAAACUUUGCCAUCAUGGCACUUCAUCAUCAACAGGUAGCAUCACGUCAGUAUCUUCAACAAAUACCCCAAGAACAAGUCACUUUGACUCCUAUUGGCUAGAGCGCCAUUGUCCAGAGCAAGAGGAUCUUCAACUGAUGAUGGACCUUUCUGAUAUUGCCCGCUGUGGAGCAAGUACAGAUCUCUCGAAAGAGGGGUCCUGCGACUAUCUGAUGGCCUGCAUGCAAGACAUACAAGCUGUCUUAAAGCAGGGCAAGCUGAAAGCACUUGUAAUAGAUACUUUUGGGGGGCGGAUCGAGAAACUUCUCUGCGAGAAAUAUAUAUAUGCUCGUGAAUUGACUGCCGAUAAAAGCUCAGCGGGUAACGUAAACGAGAGUGAAGACGUCUUGGAGCAUGUGACAGCUACCCCACACUUACUGCUGAAAGAUAGGAUAAGUAUCGAUGAUUUUGAGAUCAUCAAACCAAUAAGUAGAGGUGCCUUUGGUAAAGUCUUUCUUGCACGAAAAAGAACAACAGGAGACUUUUUUGCAAUAAAGGUACUCAAAAAGUUGGAUAUGAUAAGGAAAAACGACAUCGAGAGGAUACUGCAAGAGCGGAAUAUACUUAUAACUGUCAGAUACCCCUUUCUGGUUCGAUUUUUUUAUUCAUUCACCUGCAGAGAUAACCUCUAUUUGGUAAUGGAAUAUCUUAAUGGUGGUGAUUUAUACUCUCUGCUACAAAAAGUUGGCUGUCUUGACGAGGAAAUUGCUCGUAUAUACAUUGCAGAAUUGGUUCUUGCAUUGGAAUACCUCCAUUCUCUGAAAAUUGUGCACCGUGAUCUAAAGCCUGAUAACUUGUUAAUCGCCCAUAAUGGGCACAUCAAGCUAACAGACUUUGGGCUUUCAAAGAUUGGUCUUAUAAACAACACAAUUGAUUUAUCUGGCCAUGGGUCAGAUGUAUCUCCAAGAAUAAGUUCUCAUCAUUUUCCGAAGAACCAAGAAGAAGAAGGAAUUCGGCAUUCAGCUGUUGGGACACCUGACUACUUGGCGCCAGAGAUUCUUCUUGGAACUGAACAUGGUUAUGCUUCGGAUUGGUGGUCUGUUGGAAUCGUCUUGUUCGAAUUGAUAACUGGAAUUCCACCUUUUACAGCAGCUCGCCCAGAGAUAAUAUUUGACAACAUCCUCAACGGAAAAAUGCCCUGGCCAGAUGUACCUGGUGCGAUGUCAUAUGAAGCUCAGGAUUUGAUUAACAGGCUUCUUGUCCAUGAGCCGGAAAAGCGACUCGGGGCAAAUGGGGCUGCAGAGGUAAAGUCACAUCCGUUCUUUCAAGGAGUUGACUGGGACAAUCUUGCAUUGCAAAAAGCUGCUUUUGUACCGCAGCCUGAGAAUAUAGCCGACACAAGCUAUUUUGUAUCACGGUUCUGUGAAAACAGUUGCAGCGAUAGUGAAACUGACAACAACAGUGGGUCAUUUCCAGAUUCAGGAGACGAGUUGGAUGAAUGCACCAACCUGGAGAAGUUUGAUUCUCCACCUUUAUAUCUCUCGCUCAUUAAUUUUUCUUUCAAGAAUUUGUCGCAAUUGGCUUCAAUCAACCAUGAUGUGCUAUUGCAAAAGGAUUUAGCUAAAGGAGGAGGAGACUCACCCUUUAAAAGCCAUGGAACGUAGAGCUUUGCUACAACCGUCAAAGCUGGCCUUAGUCCGCGGUUUGUUCUGGUUUGCGCCUGCUUUGACCGUUGUAGCUGCUGCUGCUACUAUGCUGAAAUUGUUACCUUCAGGUCUUUUGGUUUUUAGGAAACAGGUUCGGGCCAUGCAUAAGAGUGGAGGUACUAAACUCACUAACAACAUGGUCACUCUUUUGUCAACCAACAUUUGCAAAGACCCUAGCGACUCGUCACCAGGUUAUAACCAAAUUGGAUCCAAGAUUUUCUCAAACAAGAAACGAGUUUUCAAUCUCCUCAAGUGGGGAUGUCACGGACUUAUUUCCGAAGACUUGUGCGGCACUCGAUAAUACCUAAUAUUACCGAGUCAGCGUUUGUGCAUCAUACCAUCUUCGACUGGUUUCGCUCUGCUGUGGGCUCAUUAGGUGAUCGGCUUAAGAUCACAACCAGUUUGUGCAGGGAUGGCCUAAUUCUUUUCUUCGUAAGUCUUAUCCUCGAUCAACGAUGACACCUGAACAUGUCGAGUGAUUCCCGUCCAACUCCUCCGAAGAAACUUGUCAGCCUGAAUUUUGUACGCCCUUCUCACUGAACCACGAUAUAUGUUCCAGUCAAAAUGGCCCCGCGGAAGCAAUGCGACAGUCACAAACUGUUCCGGGAAAACUGUUCGUGACAAGGAGCUGCAUUCAAUCAUACAACCUGAUUUUAUUAAAGCUAUUUACCAAAUAUAUCAUCUCGUGCUCUAGCACCGAUUGUCCCCUAGAAUCAAAACAAAACAAUGGGAGACUGAAUGUUUUAGCUAUACAAAAUUACAAGCCGAACCUUUUGUGUUUUUUAAAAUUGUAUUUUAUAAUGGGCUAUUUCUUGAGCCAAAAUUUUUCCCAA